rnacentral:rRNA from 1 species
UACGGGGGGAGCAAGCGUUGUUCGGAUUUACUGGGCGUAAAGGGCGCGUAGGCGGUCAGCACAAGUCAGUUGUGAAAUCUCCGGGCUUAACUCGGAAAGGUCAACUGAUACUGUGCGACUAGAGUGCAGAAGGGGCAACUGGAAUUCUCGGUGUAGCGGUGAAAUGCGUAGAUAUCGAGAGGAACACCUGCGGCGAAGGCGGGUUGCUGGGCUGACACUGACGCUGACAGCGCGAAAGCUAGGGGAGCAAACGGG